rnacentral:rRNA from 1 species
UAAUUCGAUGCAACGCGAAGAACCUUACCUACUCUUGACAUCCAGAGAACUUAGCAGAGAUGCUUUGGUGCCUUCGGGAACUCUGAGACAGGUGCUGCAUGGCUGUCGUCAGCUCGUGUUGUGAAAUGUUGGGUUAAGUCCCGCAACGAGCGCAACCCUUAUCCUUUGUUGCCAGCGAUUCGGUCGGGAACUCAAAGGAGACUGCCGGUGAUAAACCGGAGGAAGGUGGGGAUGACGUCAAGUCAUCAUGGCCCUUACGAGUAGGGCUACACACGUGCUACAAUGGCGUAUACAAAGAGAAGCGACCUCGCGAGAGCAAGCGGAACUCAUAAAGUACGUCGUAGUCCGGAUUGGAGUCUGCAACUCGACUCCAUGAAGUCGGAAUCGCUAGUAAUCGUAGAUCAGAAUGCUACGGUGAAUACGUUCCCGGGCCUUGUACACACCGCCCGUCACACCAUGGGAGUGGGUUGCAAAAGAAGUAGGUAGCUUAACCUUCGGGAGGGCGCUUACCACUUUGUGAUUCAUGACUGGGGUGAAGUCGUAACAAGGUAACCGUAGGGGAACCUGCGGUUGGAUCACCUCCUUA